rnacentral:rRNA from 2 species
GGACGGAGAAGGCUAUGUUGGCCGGGCGACGGUUGUCCCGGUUUAAGCGUGUAGGUGUGUGUUCCAGGUAAAUCCGGUUCACUUUAACACUGAGGCGUGACGACGAGGCACUACGGUGCUGAAGCAACAAAUGCCCUGCUUCCAGGAAAAGCCUCUAAGCAUCAGGUAACAUCAAAUCGUACCCCAAACCGACACAGGUGGUCAGGUAGAGAAUACCAAGGCGCUUGAGAGAACUCGGGUGAAGGAACUAGGCAAAAUGGUGCCGUAACUUCGGGAGAAGGCACGCUGACACGUAGGUGAAGUGAUUUACUCAUGGAGCUGAAGUCAGUCGAAGAUACCAGCUGGCUGCAACUGUUUAUUAAAAACACAGCACUGUGCAAACACGAAAGUGGACGUAUACGGUGUGACGCCUGCCCGGUGCCGGAAGGUUAAUUGAUGGGGUCAGCGCAAGCGAAGCUCCUGAUCGAAGCCCCGGUAAACGGCGGCCGUAACUAUAACGGUCCUAAGGUAGCGAAAUUCCUUGUCGGGUAAGUUCCGACCUGCACGAAUGGCGUAAUGAUGGCCAGGCUGUCUCCACCCGAGACUCAGUGAAAUUGAACUCGCUGUGAAGAUGCAGUGUACCCGCGGCAAGACGGAAAGACCCCGUGAACCUUUACUAUAGCUUGACACUGAACAUUGAGCCUUGAUGUGUAGGAUAGGUGGGAGGCUUUGAAGUGUGGACGCCAGUCUGCAUGGAGCCGACCUUGAAAUACCACCCUUUAAUGUUUGAUGUUCUAACGUGGACCCGUUACCCGGGUUGCGGACAGUGUCUGGUGGGUAGUUUGACUGGGGCGGUCUCCUCCUAAAGAGUAACGGAGGAGCACGAAGGUUGGCUAAUCCUGGUCGGACAUCAGGAGGUUAGUGCAAUGGCAUAAGCCAGCUUGACUGCGAGCGUGACGGCGCGAGCAGGUGCGAAAGCAGGUCAUAGUGAUCCGGUGGUUCUGAAUGGAAGGGCCAUCGCUCAACGGAUAAAAGGUACUCCGGGGAUAACAGGCUGAUACCGCCCAAGAGUUCAUAUCGACGGCGGUGUUUGGCACCUCGAUGUCGGCUCAUCACAUCCUGGGGCUGAAGUAGGUCCCAAGGGUAUGGCUGUUCGCCAUUUAAAGUGGUACGCGAGCUGGGUUUAGAACGUCGUGAGACAGUUCGGUCCCUAUCUGCCGUGGGCGCUGGAGAACUGAGGGGGGCUGCUCCUAGUACGAGAGGACCGGAGUGGACGCAUCACUGGUGUUCGGGUUGUCAUGCCAAUGGCACUGCCCGGUAGCUAAAUGCGGAAGAGAUAAGUGCUGAAAGCAUCUAAGCACGAAACUUGCCCCGA